rnacentral:rRNA from 1 species
AUACGGAGGGUGCAAGCGUUACUCGGAAUCACUGGGCGUAAAGCGUGCGUAGGCGGUUAUUUAAGUCAGAUGUGAAAUCCCUGGGCUCAACCUAGGAACUGCAUCUGAAACUGGAUAACUAGAGUUUAGGAGAGGGGAGUAGAAUUUCGGGUGUAGCGGUGAAAUGCAUAGAGAUCCGAAGGAAUACCAGUGGCGAAGGCGACUCCCUGGCCUAGAACUGACGCUGAGGUGCAAAAGCGUGGGUAGCAAACGGGAUUAGAUACCCCAGUAGUCC